rnacentral:rRNA from 1 species
AUUGAACGCUAGCGGGAGGCCUAACACAUGCAAGUCGAACGGAGUGGCGGACGGGUGAGUAAUGUAUAGGAACGUGCCCAGUAGCGGGGGAUAACUACGCGAAAGCGUAGCUAAUACCGCAUACUAUUAGAGCGGCCUAUAUCGGAUUAGCUAGUUGGUGGGGUAAGGGCUCACCAAGGCGACGAUCCGUAGCUGGUUUGAGAGGACGAUCAGUCAAACUGGAACUGAGACACGGCCCAGACUCCUACGGGAGGCAGCAGUGGGGAAUAUUGGACAAUGGGCGAAAGCCUGAUCCAGCCAUCCCGCGUGUGUGAAGAAGGCCUUCGGGUUGUAAAGCACUUUAAGCAGGAAAGCGGUACCUGCAGAAUAAGCACCGGCUAACUACGUGCCAGCAGCCGCGGUAAUAC